GAUGAACGCUGGCGGCGUGCCUAAUACAUGCAAGUCGAGCGAACAGACGAGGAGCUUGCUCCUCUGACGUUAGCGGCGGACGGGUGAGUAACACGUGGAUAACCUACCUAUAAGACUGGGAUAACUUCGGGAAACCGGAGCUAAUACCGGAUAAUAUAUUGAACCGCAUGGUUCAAUAGUGAGAGACGGUUUUGCUGUCACUUAUAGAUGGAUCCGCGCCGCAUUAGCUAGUUGGUAAGGUAACGGCUUACCAAGGCAACGAUGCGUAGCCGACCUGAGAGGGUGAUCGGCCACACUGGAACUGAGACACGGUCCAGACUCCUACGGGAGGCAGCAGUAGGGAAUCUUCCGCAAUGGGCGAAAGCUUGACGGAGCAACGCCGCGUGAGUGAUGAAGGUCUUCGGAUCGUAAAACUCUGUUAUUAGGGAAGAACAAAUGAGUAAGUAACUAUGCACGUCUUGACGGUACCUAAUCAGAAAGCCACGGCUAACUACGUG
rnacentral:rRNA from 1 species